CACUAGGGCAGGGGCUUCCCAAGGGGACAGAUUCUCACCACCAGGCGCCAGCUUUGGGCCGGCCCACUCACACUCUCCCUCCCUUAGCACACACUAAACCCCCCGAAUCAGGGGGUCUCAGCCCCCCUCCUGUUUGGCAGGGACCAGAUCAGAGAUCUGGGUCAGUUAGGAUCAAAUAUUCGGGAUCCGGAUUUGAAAGUCUAGGGGAGGAUUCAAAAUUAGUCCCACUUGAUUAGCAGGUUGGAAAUAUUUUAGACUUACUGGGGUUAAAGGUUACGUUUAAAUCGCAAGGUAUCUGACAGUCCGGCUGAGGUUUGGGGGGGGAGGGCAUCUGGCUGAGUUAAUUUGGAGAUUAGAUCUAGGGUUAGGUUUAUAGAGUCUUCUAGAGCUGAGCUGGGUCAAAGAUUGAGGCUGAAGGAGGAUGGAAGGAACUCAGAAACGCCCCCAGAAACCAUCCAAAGCUGAAGUGGGGGAGAGCUCAGAAACCAUCCAAAGCUGAAGGAGGAGGGGGGGAGCUCAGAAACCAUCCAAAGCUAAAGGAGGAGGGGGGGGGGCCGGAACCCGAACCCCCCUUGGUUAGAGUUAGGGUUAGUUCUGCUAUUUGGGCCUUGUGGUCCAGAGGUGUUAGGCUGAAAGCUAGAAGCAGUCCAGUUCCUCCCGGGACAGAAAUGGGACGGGCGUCGUUAAGAAAGGAUGAAAAGAUCUCAUCUUCUCUCUCUCUUAUCCCUCCCUGAUCUGGAUCCACUAAACCCAGAAUGAAAAGUUGCAAGAGGAGAAUGAUGUCCUGAGAUCCACUGAAGAGGUACUACUCAGGGACAAUGACAAGAUAAAAAAGAAAAUACUGAAGCUAAAAGAACGCCACGAAUCUCUGCAAGACGAUAUCUACACGCUGGAGGAACGUCUGUGUUCUUGCACCUGCCCUGAGAACCGAUCGAACCACGAACACAAAGAGAGCAAAAGGUGUGGCCGCUGGCCCCGGUCUUCAAGGAAAGGAGAGAGGGCAGGCGGCUGGCGGGAGGAUGGGGCGGGCAGUGGGGAGGAACCUCCGUGGGACUUGAGGGGCCCUCAGUGUGACAUCUCUCUCCCCUCCCCUUUUCUUCCUCUCUCUAACACCUGGGGCUCCCACCUCAGGGCUGCGAACACAGGGCGGCGGCUCCCGUGAGUCCCCGAGGCCGGAUGCACCUCCCCGUCCCCCCACGGAAACAAACCCCCUCCGGGGUUCAAUAAACUUCUCUCCGGGGCUGGGACCCCCUCUGAUUCCCAAAUGUUUGCUUCCUAGGACGUGAAGAGUUUUUCAAUGGGGAGGGGCCCCCUUGGGUCCGGACCCGAGACAAAUUCCGCGAUGAGGAGGCGGGGUCCGGGAGGGGGCGGGGCCCUAGGGAAGCGUUUAUGGGGGAGGCCCAGGAUUGGCAGUGCAGGAGCAAGGGCGGGG
rnacentral:lncRNA from 1 species